UGAGGCUCAGAACCGUGUACCAAGGGUGUGCUUGCCUGGGACAGGGAGACCUAAAAGGCCCACUUCUCCUCCAGUGUCUCCCCGGGAGGAGGUGGCCCCAUGUCAACAGUUUGAGCCACACAGAUCACCAAGGGAGAGAAACGACACAGGCCACAGCCCAGAGGGCGGGGUGGCCUGGGCAGAAGUCAGGCCUUUCUCUUCUUUACUGACCUCUUCUUUACUGAUCACGUGAAAUCUCCACCUGGCUCACAACUUGGCAAAACUCUUCCUUCUCGGGACUGAGCGAGAGGUGAGUUCAGUCUGACCCGGGCUUGUCAGUUGAGCCUGACGAAAGAAAAUGCAUCAGAAGGAAGGAAUGAUGUCUCCCUGAAUAGCCAGCUUGGCCCACAGAUCGGUGGCCAGAUUGCAUCACCCCUAAGCAGUCCCAACGUCUGAGCUAAUCAAGAUGGGAGUUCUAAGCGACAAGUGAGAACACACAGCUGUGGGAUCCCACAUGCUGUGCAACCUCCCUGGGCUUCAGAGACCUCAUGCCCCCUAUAUUCAUCAGGAUGGUAUAAUUACACCCAACAGCUGCAUACAGUGCCUGGAAUCAGGAGCCCCCAAGCCUACUGGACCCCCAGAGUGCCCAGAGCACUCUUCUGUCCCCUUAACCCACCCUCAGAAGCGGCCCACAUGCCACACCUUCUCUGCCUGCUUUGUCACCUCAUUGGAUACCUGGGAGCACAGCAUUCGGAGGUGGAUUUACUUCCAGAUGGAGAAAUUGAGUUCUAGGAGACGUGUGGUGGACAUUCGGGUUUGUUUGUUUGCUGGUCUGUUUUUUUGAUCCUCCUUCUCCCUGACUUUCUUUUGGAAAACCACAUUUCUAUACAUUUCCAGCAUUUCCAUGGAGGGGUUCAUCCCACUCCUACGCUCCAGAGGACAGCAAAUGAUCUAGGCCUGGCCAGUUCUCUUUCCCUCUUUCAGUUAUGGAUUCAGGAGGUGCGCGUGUGACUCAAACUGAAGUAUCAUUCUUGGGAUUUGUGCUAGAAGUCUAAAGAAAGAGAUACUGUUUUUCUCCUGGACUUGAAAGCUGAUAGACUGUAAGUAUGAAGCGUCUGGUGGCCAUUCUGUUGCUGGAAGAAGAGAACCUUCUGGACUAUGAAGCCAAGAAAGAAAAGCAGAGAUGAAAAGUGGAAAGACAUGGAUGUCUGAUGACUUCAUUUAAGCCUACAACCUAGCUGUGCCUGAAGCUUUUCAAUGAUCUUAGCCAACAGAUUCCCUGUCUUGCUCAAGCUGGUUUGAGCGAGGCUACAGCCUUUCCUGCUGAUACCUUGGAACUUUGAGCCUGUUCUUAAUGGACAGCCUCCUGUUCUUCUCGAGAUGCUAAGGUCCAGGAAUGGAUUGAUUCCUGCUUCUUUUUCCAGUGAUUAAGACAUGGCAUAGAUUUUAUUGGACUGUACUCACCCUUCCUCUUGUAAUGAUGUGAGACAAUAAAACACCAACGUGAUGAGAUGAAGUGAGGGCAAUGACGUAGGUGUUGUUAUGCAGCCAUUGGCUACUAGUGACCUUAUGACAGUAUUUCAGAAGAAGGAUCAUCUACUUCCAGACUGUGGUUGACCACAGAUAAGCUAACAGAUCUCUUCUAACAGUUGAAUUAUAUAAACUUUAUAAAAGUGACCACUUCCCAUUUGUUUAUUCAGCCUCUACAAAUGGCAUCCAAAGCGACAUAUUAACUUUUUAAAGGAAGAAUUUUAAAAAUGUACUCUAGAAUGCCCCAUUUUUAAAUAUAGCACAAAAGGGAAAGAAAACUGAAGACAAAAACCAGAGGGAAAAGGUCACAAUAACCACCACACAGAAACUGAAGUCAUGUCAAGCAAUGUCAUAUAACAUACACAUGUGUAUGAUUAUGGUUCCUGCAGACCCCACGACUGAGCAUGGAAUGGUUUUACAGUGUGAGCUCUUCUUCAAACCCAACCCUGGAUCCUCGGGCAGGCAACGAGGAAAGAGAAAGGGAGUCCUGGUUCCCACCUGACUUA